AUGACUUUCUCAGGAUCUAAGUAUGCAGAUUUCUGGUGGAAUAGACCUGACUACAGUCAACAGGAAAAUGAUCGUAGCUGCAGCUGUUCAGUAAGCAUGGGAAGUCUGAAGCUGUCUCCAGCACCUCUUCUUCAGCAAAUUGCACAUCUGAUACACCAGAGGACUUUUCUAGAUCCAUGGACAACUUUUCAAGUUGGGAGGAUGGGGGAAUGCUGUGCAAACAGAGUAUCCCUGUGAGCAGUUCCUCAUAACCGUUUUCUCAAGCAGUUGUGGCUGCAGAUUUUCCCAUUCAGUGCCACUACCUGCUCAGACCUGCCCCUGCUACCCUUUCCACAGCGUGAGCACAGCUGCCUGUGGUGCCUUGCAGGAAGCUAGAUAUUACCUUUUUUUUUUUUUUUUUUUUGUAGUUUUUUUUUACCUGGCUUUUUUUUUUCAUUUUGCUUUUCAUGCAGCCCCACAAAAAGUGCCAGGUGUCGUGAUAUGGAACAGGGAGCCAGUAGCAAGAGGUCCUGACUGUACCUUAGGCUGUUGUUACUGCUGAAAACAGCAUAUGAAAUCAACUGUAGCCUGAAGAAUCUGAUUUAUUAUAGUGGUAAAUCCAGGUUUUGAGCACCGAGUCUGAGAUAAGAAACAGCAUAGUCCUUUUAACCUACAAACUUCACUCUGCUUCUUAAAUGCAUUCAAUUUCUUUCCAUUAGUAUCAUUGCCCUUGAAAAGGUGCUGGCUCAGAUAUUGUCCCCCUCCAUUGGUUUAACUUUGUGCUGGAUCACAUAUGAUCUAUCCAUAGCUCACACAAAUCUAGCAUAACAUCCUAAAGAUAGCAUUAAACUGUAUAUUGUCCAGUUUUGCAGAACACAAUUACAUGGUCACACCUGAUCUGGCUCCAUUGUGCACUUCCAUUUACUCCAGAAAUGCAGAGGUCGGGUAUUACUGAUCAUGAAACCAGAAUUACAAGAAAAACAACCUCAUUUUCAUAAGCCUGAUAGACAUUCAUAUUGCCAGCAAAAAAAAGUAUAGAGGCUCAAAAAUUGCAAAAUAGUUGAAAAGAGUCCAGACAACGUACAUCAGUGCUUGUACUGUAAGUUCUUCUUCCAUUUCUAGUGUUGCAGAAGCUUGUCUAAGCCACAAAGUUUGCAUGUAUGCUACAGUUCUCUAAUGCACAUUUUUAAUCUUGCUUUCUUGACUUAAAGUUAAAGCUCAGACCCCCAUUUGUAUGUUAUACCUGUAAAUUCAUAUAUAAACACACAUUUAUACACAUACACAAAUAUGUUUUAUAUGUACUUUAACUUUCUCCACACAUGAUCAGACAUAUUUAACUUCAUAUGCUGCAUAUGUUUUUGUUAGAAGAAGGAGCACAGUCAGUUCCCAGCACAGGUAGUGCAGCCUUCAGCUGAGACUCUAUAGCAGCCUGAGGCUCAACAGCCUGGCAGGAAAACCUGCAAAUCCUGCUGCAUCCCACAGGUUUCUGUGACUGAUAGAAGCACCAUCUCUGCUGGGGCGUUAGAAGUUCCCAAAGAAGUAACCUUUGCUUCACUCUUUCAAACUCACUAAAUUGUUACACAACUGAAUUUUCAGUCUUUUUGAUGCGAUAGGACAGCAAAUAAUAAAUGCAGCCUGGAGAUAUCA
rnacentral:lncRNA from 1 species